UACGAAGGGGGCUAGCGUUGCUCGGAAUCACUGGGCGUAAAGCGCACGUAGGCGGAUCUUUAAGUCGGGGGUGAAAUCCUGGAGCUCAACUCCAGAACUGCCUUCGAUACUGAGGACCUUGAGUCCGGGAGAGGUGAGUGGAGCUGCGAGUGUAGAGGUGAAAUUCGUAGAUAUUCGCAAGAACACCAGUGGCGAAGGCGGCUCACUGGCCCGGUACUGACGCUGAGGUGCGAAAGCGUGGGGAGCAAACAGGG
rnacentral:rRNA from 1 species